GGCAGGAUUGCCGAGUGGUCUAAGGCGCUGCGUUCAGGUCGCAGUCUCCUCUGGAGGCGCGGGUUCGAAUCCCGCUCCUGUCA
rnacentral:tRNA from 1 species